UAUCGGCGAUUGAAUGCAUCUGUUUCUAAUCGAUUCAAUUCCUUCAACCCUGCUUCAAUUCAUGCUCAAUUAAUACAUAUAGAGAGAGAAUCAGGCAUAGAUCGCCAGAAAGAGAAUGGGGGGAAUGAGAACAGGCAAGCAGAGGAAGGGACUUUGAUGGUUAUUCAAUUGAAUGUCAGUAAUUGUGAAACCCUUUAUCAUCCAAACGCACAAAAGACAAGACCAAAGCACAUCUUCAUCAUCAUCUUCUACUUCCAAAUUCCCAAAUCUUCCAUCUAGGGUUCCGAUUGAGACUUACAGAGGGACAUAGGGUUCUUCGGCUUACCAUGUCCAAUAAAGGGUUGGUAUACACGAUUGUUCCAGUAAAGGUUUUGUUAUUAGGAGGUGUUAUCUGAUCCGUUUUAGUUUCCUGAAAUACCCACGUUAAAAUGAUUAUGCCUUUUUAUCUGGUUGAACCUAAUACUUUCUUGAUUUGAAAUUCAAAACUACAAGAGGUUGUGAUGAUUGAACACUAUUUGAAUCGAAAUUGGGUUAAUACUUAAGUAGUAAGCUCAUUUACACAGGCUAGCCAACUCGAGCUCUAUAACUGAAGCUUGGGCUGUGUGUAUAAGCCUUUGGAAUGUCACCCAAUGGUUCCGCAGUUACAACCUUACACUUUGGCGUGAGUACUGAUUCUUCCUGAUUAAUAAUUCUUUGUCCGGCCUUUUUAUUACUUGAGCUUUAAUGCGAGUUUCUUUUAUGGGAAAAAUCACUUUAGAAAUCUACAUCUCUCAUAUUCACAUAUGGCUAAGAAACCAGAAGACUUUUUGGCCAGAAAAGAGUGCUCGGAUAUACGUACGUGUUCAGGGCGCACAACUUAAAAAACACAUUGAUGCAACUUUGGGUAGUGGAUAUUUGACGGAAGUUGUUUGCCUACCUCCUGGAGAAGAUCUUAACGAAUGGCUGGCAAUUAAUGUUGUUGAUUUUUUUUAAUCAAGUGAACAUCCUUUAUGGUACUCUUGCUGAGUUCCGCACACAAUCGACAUGGCCAACAUGACAGCCAGAACAAAAUGAGGUUCAAAGGAUGGUAUGUGGGUUUAACGAUGGAAGAAUUUGGAACUUGUGUUGGGCAUUCAUCAUUUGGAAGCAGAUGCCGUGAUUUCUGAUUACCAAGAAUAAAUGUAUAGUUUAUUAAAAAGGCGAUUGAAGAUAUGGCUGCCAGAAGUUUGGGAUACUUACUAGAAUUGCUAAUGCCAGAGGCAUCCCAAGUUGAGCCCAACUUAAAAAUCAAGCAUACACCAUUGAGCAGACAGAUUCGUAGAUUUUUUUUAAUUAAUACUUUCUGCACAAGCUUAGCCUAUGAUCAAGCAUUUGACUUUGACCUCAUCAAGUAUAUAGAGAUAUGCAUGACCUCACCCAUAAAGUUGAUGUUCAUAUCCAGUAGUUGAACUAUUUUUAUAUGCAUCAACUUUUUUAUAUU